rnacentral:rRNA from 1 species
CCGACACAGGUGGACAGGUAGAGAAUACCAAGGCGAGCGAGAUAACUCUGGUUAAGGAACUCGGCAAAAUAGCUCCGUAACUUCGGGAGAAGGAGCGCCCCGGUAAAGUGAAGGACUUCGCGUCCGUAGCUUGAGGGGGCCGCAGUGACUAGACCCAAGCGACUGUUUACCAAAAACACAGCAGGGUGCUAAGUCGCAAGACGAUGUAUACCCUGUGACGCCUGCCCGGUGCUGGAAGGUUAAGUGGAUAGGUUAGCUUCGGCGAAGCUUUGAAACCAAGCCCCAGUAAACGGCGGCCGUAACUAUAACGGUCCUAAGGUAGACCACUCAUCGUGCAUGAGUGACUGCCCUCCGUGACGGUGACGUCACGGUUAGCAGCUGGCUAUAUGCUGGAAACACCGAGUAUCCGGUAGUACUCAUCCAUGUCACAUCCUCUUCGUAGGGUCAUUGAUAUGGGAAGUGAAAAUCUAUCCGGUGCGGUCAAUCAGCAGGAAAGGCCAGAUUUCGAGCAGUGGGUCGUCGGCUUCGUCGACGGCGAGGGCUGCUUUUCGAUCUCGGUGGUGAAGAACUCCGGGUGCCGGCUCGGUUGGCAGGUCCAACACGAGUUCUCGGUGACUCAGGCAGAACCUUCACUUCACGUACUCGAGGAUCUCAUCGAUUUCUUCGGGUGCGGUUCCGUGAUCGUGAACAAUCGACACGACGACCAUCGUUACCGUCUUGCGCGGUACUCGGUCAAAGGUCGGGUCGACCUCAUCGAACGGGUGAUACCGUUCUUCGAAGCGAACCCGCUGAAGACAGCCAAAAAGGGCGAUUUUGAGUCCUUUCGAUCUGUCUUGUCGAUGAUGUCAGAAGGUAGUCAUCUGACCCGUGAGGGUCUGGAUGCGAUUGCUGUCAUCACCGAAAGUACGAAUCGCAAAACGCGAUCUCGAUAUCUGGAAUCCUCAGAGGCCAUACGCCAGCCACCUCUACUCGACGGCAGAGGUGAAGAUAUGGUCCGUACCCCAUAGCGAUGUGGGGAGCAAUACGAGCGAAAUUCCUUGUCGGGUAAGUUCCGACCUGCACGAAUGGCGUAACGACUUGGGUACUGUCUCAACCAGAGACUCGGCGAAAUUGCAGUGUGAGUAAAGAUGCUCACUACUUGCGGCAGGACGGAAAGACCCCGGAACCUUCACUGUAGCUUGACAUUGGUGUCUGGCAUGUGAUGUGCAGGAUAGGUGGGAGACUAUGAAGCGGAGGCGCUAGCUUUCGUGGAGUCAACGUUGAAAUACCACCCUUCAUAUGACGGCCAUCUAACCCAGGUCCAUUAUCUGGAUCGGGAACAGUGUCUGGCAGGCAGUUUCACUGGGGCGGUGGCCUCCUAAAAAGUAACGGAGGCGCCCAAAGGUUCCCUCAGCCUGGUCGGCAAUCAGGCGUUGAGUGUAAAUGCACAAGGGAGCUUGACUGCGAGACCUACAAGUCGAGCAGGGACGAAAGUCGGGAUUAGUGAACCCAUGAUGGCACGUGGGUGCGUCAUGGUUCAACGGCUAAAAGGUACUCCGGGGAUAACAGGCUUAUACCCCCCAAGAGUCCAUAUCGACGGGGGUGUUUGGCACCUCGAUGUCGGCUCGUCGCAUCCUGGGGCCGUAGCAGGUCCCAAGGGUCGGGCUGUUCGCCCGUUAAAGCGGCACGCGAGCUGGGUUCAGAACGUCGUGAGACAGUUCGGUCCCUAUCCGCCGCAAGCGUAGGAAAUUUGAGAGGAGCUGCCCCUAGUACGAGAGGACCGGGGUGGACAGACCUCUGGUGUGUGAGUUGUACUGCCAAGUGCACGGCUCAUUGGCUAAGUCUGGACAGGAUAAGCGCUGAAGGCAUCUAAGUGCGAAGCCCACCUCGAGAUGAGAUUUCCCACCCGAAAGGGUUAAGGCCCCUGGUAGAAGACCAGGUUGAUAGGCCAGACGUGUAAGCGCAGCAAUGCGUUCAGCGGACUGGUACUAAUAGGCCGAGGGCUUGGAAUU